rnacentral:rRNA from 1 species
AGGACGAACGCUGGCGGCGUGCUUAACACAUGCAAGUCGAGCGGAAAGGCCCUUCGGGGUACUCGAGCGGCGAACGGGUGAGUAACACGUGAGCAACCUGCCCUUAGCUCCGGGAUAGCUCCGGGAAACCGGAAUUAAUACCGGAUAUGACCACGGCCGACAUCUGCUGUGGUGGAAAGGAUUCCGGCUAAGGAUGGACUCGCGGCCUAUCAGCUAGUUGGUGGAGUAACGGCCCACCAAGGCGACGACGGGUA